CCUACGGGAGGCAGCAGUGAGGAAUAUUGGGCAAUGGGCGCAAGCCUGACCCAGCAAUGCCGCGUGAAGGAAGAAGGCUUUCGGGUUGUAAACUUCUUUGACAGGGGAAGAGAAGAAGACGGUACCCUGAAAACAAGCCACGGCUAACUACGUGCCAGCAGCCGCGGUAAUGCGAAGGUGGCAAGCGUUGUCCGGAUUUACUGGGUGUAAAGGGCGUGUAGCCGGGAAGGCAAGUCAGAUGUGAAAUCUGGAGGCUCAACCUCCAAAUUGCAUUUGAAACUGUUUUUCUUGAGUACUGGAGAGGCAGACGGAAUUCCUUGUGUAGCGGUGAAAUGCGUAGAUAUAAGGAGGAACACCAGUGGCGAAGGCGGUCUGCUGGACAGCAACUGACGGUGAGGCGCGAAAGCGUGGGGAGCAAACAGGAUUAGAUACCCCAGUAGUC
rnacentral:rRNA from 1 species